AUUCUUUUCCAGUUCAUAAGUAUGAUGAUUGGGUUUUCACACGUCUGUGUGAUAUGUGCUUCCCUUAAAUCUUGUUACAGUGUUGGCACAUUACCCUUCUGAUG